rnacentral:rRNA from 1 species
UACAGAGGUCUCAAGCGUUGUUCGGAUUCAUUGGGCGUAAAGGGUGCGUAGGCGGCGCGGUAAGUCGGGUGUGAAAUCUCGGAGCUUAACUCCGAAACUGCAUUCGAUACUGCCGUGCUUGAGGACUGGAGAGGAGACUGGAAUUUACGGUGUAGCGGUGAAAUGCGUAGAUAUCGUAAGGAAGACCAGUGGCGAAGGCGGCAUCCUGGACCGGCAUUGACGCUGAGGCGCGAAAGCUAGGGGAGCAAACGGG